rnacentral:rRNA from 1 species
GAUGAACGCUGGCGGCGUGCCUAAUACAUGCAAGUAGAACGCUGAAGCUUGGUGCUUGCACCGAGCGGAUGAGUUGCGAACGGGUGAGUAACGCGUAGGUAACCUGCCUCUUAGCGGGGGAUAACUAUUGGAAACGAUAGCUAAUACCGCAUAAAAGUCGACAUCGCAUGAUGUUGACUUGAAAGGUGCAAUUGCAUCACUAAGAGAUGGACCUGCGUUGUAUUAGCUAGUUGGUGAGGUAACGGCUCACCAAGGCGACGAUACAUAGCCGACCUGAGAGGGUGAUCGGCCACACUGGGACUGAGACACGGCCCAGACUCCUACGGGAGGCAGCGGUAGGGAAUCUUCGGCAAUGGGGGCAACCCUGACCGAGCAACGCCGCGUGAGUGAAGAAGGUUUUCGGAUCGUAAAGCGCUGUUGUAAGAGAAGAACGAGUGUGAGAGUGGAAAGUUCACACUGUGACGGUAACUUACCAGAAAGGGACGGCUAACUACGUGCCAGCAGCCGCGGUAAUACGUAGGUCCCGAGCGUUAUCCGGAUUUAUUGGGCGUAAAGCGAGCGCAGGCGGUUAGAUAAGUCUGAAGUUAAAGGCUGUGGCUUAACCAUAGUACGCUUUGGAAACUGUUUAACUUGAGUGCAGAAGGGGAGAGUGGAAUUCCAUGUGUAGCGGUGAAAUGCGUAGAUAUAUGGAGGAACACCGGUGGCGAAAGCGGCUCUCUGGUCUGUAACUGACGCUGAGGCUCGAAAGCGUGGGGAGCAAACAGG